rnacentral:rRNA from 1 species
ACGGGAGGCAGCAGUGGGGAAUAUUGCACAAUGGGGGGAACCCUGAUGCAGCGACGCCGCGUGAGCGAAGAAGUAUCUCGGUAUGUAAAGCUCUAUCAGCAGGGAAGAAACAGGACGGUACCUGCACAAGAAGCCCCGGCUAACUACGUGCCAGCAGCCGCGGUAAUACGUAGGGGGCGAGCGUUGUCCGGAUUUACUGGGUGUAAAGGGAGCGUAGACGGCUGUGCAAGUCUGGAGUGAAAUUCCGCGGCUCAACCGCGGAACUGCUCUGGAAACUGCAUGGCUCGAGUACCGGAGGGGCAGGCGGAACUCCUAGUGUAGCGGUGAAAUGCGUAGAUAUUAGGAAGAACACCGGCGGCGAAGGCGGCCUGCUGGACGGUAACUGACGUUGAGGCUCGAAAGCGUGGGGAGCAAACAGGAUUAGAUACCCUGGUA